GACGAACGCUGGCGGCGUGCCUAAUACAUGCAAGUUGAGCGCUGAAGGUUGGUACUUGUACGAACUGGAUGAGCAGCGAACGGGUGAGUAACGCGUGGGGAAUCUGCCUUUGAGCGGGGGACAACAUUUGGAAACGAAUGCUAAUACCGCAUAAAAACUUUAAACACAAGUUUUAAGUUUGAAAGAUGCAAUUGCAUCACUCAAAGAUGAUCCCGCGUUGUAUUAGCUAGUUGGUGAGGUAAAGGCUCACCAAGGCGAUGAUACAUAGCCGACCUGAGAGGGUGAUCGGCCACAUUGGGACUGAGACACGGCCCAAACUCCUACGGGAGGCAGCAGUAGGGAAUCUUCGGGAAUGGACGAAAGUCUGACCGAGCAACGCCGCGUGAGUGAAGAAGGUUUUCGGAUCGUAAAACUCUGUUGGUAGAGAAGAACGUUGGUGAGAGUGGAAAGCUCAUCAAGUGACGGUAACUACCCAGAAAGGGACGGCUAACUACGUGCCAGCAGCCGCGGUAAUAC
rnacentral:rRNA from 1 species